rnacentral:lncRNA from 1 species
UUUAAAUUUCUAAUUUUCAAAUUUUAAGUUUGGAUUUUAAAUUUUAAUUUUACAAAAUAAUUUUAGAAAAUUGUCAAACAACUUUAUAAAAUCACUUUAGAAAAAUUAUUUUCUUACAAGACUCAAACAAGUGCUCUAUAGCUUUCGAUUAAAAGCAAUUCUCCAAACCAAAGUCACUUAUGUAGAAAUUACUUAUCCAAAAGCUACGACAAACAAGCCCUAAAUUUGUU